GUGCCAGCAGCCGCGGUAAUACGGAGGUGGCAAGCGUUGUUCGGAAUUACUGGGCGUAAAGGGCGCGUAGCGCUUUACAAGUCAGAUGUGAAAUCCCCGGGCUUAACUUGGGAAUUGCAUCUGAAACUGUUUUGCUUGAGUCCUGGAUGGGGUAGUGGAAUUCCCAGUGUAGCGGUGAAAUGCGUAGAUAUUGGGAGGAACACCGGUGGCGAAGGCGGCUACCUGGACAGUGACUGACGCUGAGGCGCGAAAGCUAGGGGAGCGAACGGGAUUAGAUACCCCGGUAGUCCUAGCCGUAAACGAUGGGCACUUGGUGUUGGGGGUAUUGAGUCCCCCGGUGCCGGAGUUAACACGUUAAGUGCCCCGCCUGGGGAGUACGGUCGCAAGACUGAAACUCAAAGGAAUUGACGGGGGCCCGCACAAGCGGUGGAGCAUGUGGUUCAAUUCGACGCAACGCGAAGAACCUUACCGGGGCUCGAACGGUGACUGCUACUCCUGGAAACAGGGGAUUCUCGUCAGAGACGGUUACCGAGGUGCUGCAUGGCUGUCGUCAGCUCGUGUCGUGAGAUGUUGGGUUAAGUCCCGCAACGAGCGCAACCCUUGCCCUUAGUUGCCAGCAGGUUAAGCUGGGCACCCUAAGGGUACUGUCGGCGAAAAGCCGGAGGAAGGUGGGGAUGACGUCAAGUCCUCAUGGCCCUUAAGUCCCGGGCUACACACGUGCUACAAUGGUCGGAACAAAGGGUUGCCAACCCGCGAGGGGGAGCUAAUCCCAAAAAGCCGAUCUCAGUUCGGAUUGCAGUCUGCAACUCGACUGCAUGAAGUUGGAAUCGCUAGUAAUCGUGGAUCAGCAUGCCACGGUGAAUACGUUCCCGGGUCUUGUACACACCGCCCGUCACACCAUGGGAGUGGGUUUCACCAGAAGUAGGUAGCCUAACCGCAAGGAGGGCGCUUACCACGGUGGGAUUCAUGACUGGGGUGAAGUCGUAACAAGGUAGCCGA
rnacentral:rRNA from 1 species